AACUACUUCCAUUUCGGCUAAAAACAGAAUCGGAAAACUAAAACGGCACCAAAAAGGACCAAAUUGAUUUUGGUUCCAAAGAAGUGCUAGGCGCGUACGCUUGUACUCGCACAAUUUUCCUUUCCUUUCCGGGCAGGUCGAUUCAAAACUCGCGCAAUUCAUUCCAGUAGAGAGGAUUGUGUGUGUUUUUCUUCUACUAGAGGGCGUCAAAUUUUAAGGCCCAUAGGGGAUGGAGACCAAAAAUAUAAUAAUAAUAAAUAAAUAAGUUAGGGUAAGUUUUUCAGACGACACAAUCUGCUUCGACACUCCGCCGGACGCAGCCUCCGCUAUCGCCUCAGGCUCAGGUGACAGCGUGACAAGGACACUCUUCUUAGGGUCUCGUGAGGUUAUUUGCCUUGAACUUGAAUCAAAUCAUUGCAUAUUGAGGACACUCUUCUUAGGAUCUCAUGAGGUUAUCUGCCUUGAACAUUUACUUUGAUAUUAAGUUUAAUUUUGAUUUUUGUGACUAAGUUAUGUUGAAUAUUCAUUUUAAUUUUUUUAUGUAAACUGGAUCAUGCCCUUUUUAAAGCACCAAGACCGGGUUUCUUUUUAAAGCACCAAGACUGGGUUUUCUUCUGUGUGUUUUCAACAUUAAUAUAUUUUAUGUACUUAUCAUCCCAUAUUAAUGAAAAUUCCGCAUUCUUAUAAACUUUUUUUGCCUAUGAAAAUUUCGUACUCUUUAAUUGAUGGAUUUAUUGUUAUUAGUUACUUAUCUUAUGCACACUGUAUAGGCGCACAAUUAUUUAUUGGUGGUGAUAGAUUUGUAGUUAUUAGUUAGUUGUCUUAUGCAAACUGAACAUGUGCACAAUUAUUUAUUGGUGCUGAUAAAAAUUUAAUGUUCUUAGUUAGUUGUCUUAAGCACACUGCACAGGCGCACAAUUAUUUAUUGGUGGUGAUAGAUUUAUAGUUAUUAGUUAAUUGUCUUAUGCACAAUGCACAUGCACACAAUUAUUUGUUGGUGGUGAUAAAUUUAUAGUUAUUAGUUAGUUGUCUUAUGCACAAUGCACACACGCACAAUUAUAUUAGCUAUAGAAUUUGAAAACAUCGUGUUAAAAUUCCGCACUCUUAUAAUUUUUUUUGCGCAUGUGAAACUUAAGGGCCUCACAUUUGAAAGUUCGCCUAGGGCCUCUCAAAAUAUUUGAAAUCUUAGGGCUGGCCCUGUACUAGAGCUGUCUUCAAUUUACAGUUCCGAUGGAUUCAUUAUCAUGUGUAAAGGGGGAUGAGAAGUUGGGGCCAGAAUACAACAGCAACAACGUGAAGAAGGCCAAGUUGCAUUCGACUCUCGCCGCUCUCCUCGACGAUCCUUUGCUCGCUGAUGUGCCAACGAAACCCACCUUGUCUGAUGUCGAAAUCCUCAUCAGCUUGGAACUCGGCAGCGCAAUGCGCAUCUCUGUCCUCAAAUUGGAUCGCACUUCCUUCGAUGUGGUCGUGAUGAAUUCUGCCACUUUAAAGGAUUUGAAAUUGGCCAUCAGGAAAAAGGUUAACGAUAUGGAGCAGUCCAAGAUGGGUCAUCGUCAAAUUUCUUGGAAGCAUGUUUGGGCGAAUUUUUGCCUUUCAUACCAUAAUGAGAAGUUACUUGAUGACAACUCUUCGCUUCAGGAUCAUGGCAUACGUAAUAAUUCUCAGGUAUUGUAUUGACGUCAAAAAAUAUGGCAAUCAGUACAGAGAAGAUCAGAGGGGGCAUACCCCCAUACUACAGACUCCAAGAGAUCAGACAAGUACCACUUCCAGUACAUAACAAAAGUGCAUUUUAUCCCGUUUGUCAUGUCAAGGGCUUCUCAGAGGCAUUCUAGAAGGAAAAAGCACCGUUUCUUUCAUGGUCUAAGCAAAAGUGCAUGAACACACAGUACUUGGUUCACCUCAUAGUACUGGCUGGAUCUUGCUCAUUGAUUUUAUCUCCACAUAUGUAGCCAAAAUUUCUUUUGACUAGUUUUUUAUUUGUGUGGUACAUAAAGUAGAAUUGUAUGAUUAGUCGUUAAACAUUACUUCAUUAUAGAUUUUUUUACCUGUUCAGUAGAAAUGGAAAUUUUGUUUCUCAUGGUGUUUGAAGGCUA